AUUCAGGCUUUUAUAUAUAUAGAUUUUGAUAAGUCAAGGAUACAUUUCGUUCUGUCUAAGGCAGUGAAGAAUAGUGAAAGGGUUUAUAACUUCCAUAAUAAACCAAAGAGAAAAAAGAAAAAAAAAAUUACACAACCAGUUCAAAAAGGGGAAAGAAAAUAGAUACACAGAACAGGAAUGACAAAUAGCAAAAUAUCACAUUAAAUCCAAAAUAUUUCAGUAAUUCUUUAAAUUUGAAAUGACUAGCCUUAGCUGCUUUGGCUCAGUGGAUAGAGUGUUGCCCUGUGGACUGAAAGGUCCUGCGUUCGAUUCUAGUCAGGGGCAUUUGCUUGGGUUUCGGGAUUGAUCCCCAGUAAGGGGUCUGCAGGAGGCAGCUGAUCAAUGAUCUUCUCAUCAUUGGUGUUUCUAACGCUCUCCUUCUCCCUCUCCCUUACUCUGUUAAAUCAAUAAAGAUAUAUACUUAAAAAAUAAAUGUGAAAUGACUAACCAUUUCAGUUAAAAGAAAAAAAUGGUUAGGCUAGAUUGAAAACAUAUUUAUGGUGUCUACAGAAAAUAUAUCAAUAACAUAAAAAAAUAGAAUUAGGAAAAAAGAAUGGAAAGCUAUAUGAUGCAAAUACUAACCAUAAAAGUAGAUGUAGCUCUGAUUAUUAGGUAAAGUAGGUUUUCCUGUUCCAGUGAUAAAGACAGACACUUCAUAUGGUAAAAAGAUUCAGGAAAAUAUAGGAAUUCAGGAAAAUAUAACAAUUCUAAAUUUGUAUGCACCCAAUAAUAAGCUCUCAAAAUUAUACAAAAAAAGAAAAUAUUAAAGGAGAAAUUAGUUAGCAAUUUGACAAGAUAAGAAUGUAUGUUGCCAUCAGCUAUUAAAAAUUUAAUGAAGAUCCUAGCUCAUAUGGUAACGCAAGAAAACAAAAUAUAUAAAAAUUUGAAAGUAAGAGCAAAUCUUAUAAUAUUUCAGAGGAAUAUUUUCAUCUAAAGUCUAAAUUAUUAGAAUUUAAAAGUGAGUCAGGUAAGGCAUUGCUGGUUACAAGUACAAGUUACACAGCUAAUUUGUAUUUCUAUGAGUUACAAAGUUUUAAAAACCAUUUUAAAAAGCAUUUAUAAUGAUGUAAAAAAUGUUCAAAUGCCUAGCAAUAAAUUCAUCAAAAUAUGUUAAGAAAUUCUAUACAGAAAACUGUAAUCAUUAUUGAGGGAAAAUAAAGUAGUUCUGAAUAAAUGGAAA